rnacentral:rRNA from 1 species
GACGAACGCUGGCGGCGUGCUUAACACAUGCAAGUCGAACGGAAAGGCCCUGCUUUUGUGGGGUGCUCGAGUGGCGAACGGGUGAGUAACACGUGAGUAACCUGCCCUUGACUUUGGGAUAACUUCAGGAAACUGGGGCUAAUACCGGAUAGGAGCUCCUGCUGCAUGGUGGGGGUUGGAAAGUUUCGGCGGUUGGGGCUGGACUCGCGGCUUAUCAGCUUGUUGGUGGGGUAGUGGCUUACCAAGGCUUUGACGGGUAGCCGGCCUGAGAGGGUGACCGGCCACAUUGGGCCUGAGAUACGGCGCAGACUCCUACGGGAGGCAGCAGUGGGGAAUAUUGCACAAUGGGCGGAAGCCUGAUGCAGCAACGCCGCGUGCGGGAUGACGGCCUUCGGGUUGUAAACCGAUUUCGCCUGUGACGAAGCGUGAGUGACGGUAAUGGGUAAAGAAGCACCGGCUAACUACGUG